rnacentral:rRNA from 1 species
AGAAGCCGAUGAAGGACGUUACUAACGACGAUAUGCUUUGGGGAGCUGUAAGUAAGCUUUGAUCCAGAGAUUUCCGAAUGGGGAAACCCAGCAUGAGUUAUGUCAUGUUAUCGAUAUGUGAAUACAUAGCAUAUCAGAAGGCACACCCGGAGAACUGAAACAUCUUAGUACCCGGAGGAAGAGAAAGAAAAUUCGAUUCCCUUAGUAGCGGCGAGCGAAACGGGAAGAGCCCAAACCAACAAGCUUGCUUGUUGGGGUUGUAGGACACUCUAUACGGAGUUACAAAGGACGACAUUAGACGAAUCAUCUGGAAAGAUGAAUCAAAGAAGGUAAUAAUCCUGUAGUCGAAAAUGUUGUCUCUCUUGAGUGGAUCCUGAGUACGACGGAGCACGUGAAAUUCCGUCGGAAUCUGGGAGGACCAUCUCCUAAGGCUAAAUACUCUCUAGUGACCGAUAGUGAACCAGUACCGUGAGGGAAAGGUGAAAAGCACCCCGGAAGGGGAGUGAAAUAGAACCUGAAACCGUGUGCUUACAAGUAGUCAGAGCCCGUUAAUGGGUGAUGGCGUGCCUUUUGUAGAAUGAACCGGCGAGUUACGAUUUGAUGCAAGGUUAAGCAGUAAAUGUGGAGCCGUAGCGAAAGCGAGUCUGAAUAGGGCGUUUAGUAUUUGGUCGUAGACCCGAAACCAGGUGAUCUACCCUUGGUCAGGUUGAAGUUCAGGUAACACUGAAUGGAGGACCGAACCGACUUACGUUGAAAAGUGAGCGGAUGAACUGAGGGUAGCGGAGAAAUUCCAAUCGAACCUGGAGAUAGCUGGUUCUCUCCGAAAUAGCUUUAGGGCUAGCCUCAAGUGAUGAUUAUUGGAGGUAGAGCACUGUUUGGACGAGGGGCCCCUCUCGGGUUACCGAAUUCAGACAAACUCCGAAUGCCAAUUAAUUUAACUUGGGAGUCAGAACAUGGGUGAUAAGGUCCGUGUUCGAAAGGGAAACAGCCCAGACCACCAGCUAAGGUCCCAAAAUAUAUGUUAAGUGGAAAAGGAUGUGGCGUUGCCCAGACAACUAGGAUGUUGGCUUAGAAGCAGCCAUCAUUUAAAGAGUGCGUAAUAGCUCACUAGUCGAGUGACACUGCGCCGAAAAUGUACCGGGGCUAAACAUAUUACCGAAGCUGUGGAUUGUCCUUUGGACAAUGGUAGGAGAGCGUUCU